rnacentral:rRNA from 1 species
UACGAAGGGGGCUAGCGUUAAUCGGAAUUACUGGGCGUAAAGCGUGCGUAGACGGUUAUUUAAGUCGGGUGUGAAAGCCCCGGGCUCAACCUGGGAAUUGCAUUCGAGACUGAAUAGCUAGGGUACGGUAGAGGGAAGUGGAAUUUCCGGUGUAGCGGUGAAAUGCGUAGAUAUCGGAAGGAACAUCAGUGGCGAAAGCGGCUUCCUGGACCAGCACCGACGUUCAGGCACGAAAGCGUGGGGAGCGAUCCGGA